GAGAGAGAGAGAGAGAGAUCCCUCAUCGUUGCAGGUAGAAAGAGAGAGGUAUUGAGCUUUGCUGUUUUGUAUUGGUUGUGUUUUAUUCAAGCUGAUUUUCUUGAAUUUGUUAUGUGUAUUCUCCAGUUUUGUAGUGAUUGGGUCCAAUUUGUGACGAGAAGAUUGGGUUGAAAACAAGUGGAACAGGUAUGGUAUUUGGUUGUAUUUUUCUUUCUUUAAGUGAUUAGUUGAAAAUUGUGUGUGUUCUGAUGGGGUUUUAGCUUCAGAGCACAAAUAUUCUGAGCUUUUGUUCUGGGUCUAUUUAAUUUGAUCGGUUUCUAAGUUGAAUUGACAGAGAGUUGGGGUUGAUUGGUUUGAUUGUCCACUAUUUGAUUCGAAAGUUUGGUUCUUUUGAGGAAUUUGUAUUUGAUUGAUUGCAAACAGAGGUUCUGGGCGGUUGGUUGGGCUGAUUGGGGAAAACAGUGGAGCUGCAAACGCCAAAAAUCUAUACGUGAAGUUAACCUGAAGGUGGAUUAGCUUUUGGUUGGCUGGGAGGAGCAGCGCAUCUCCCUUGCAUGUCCCCUACACUUUGCUCUUUGCUUUAUCUAGCAGUUGCAACAUUCUUCAAUUAGAACUGUUCUGGAAGAGUUCCGGAAGACCUUCAAACUAGAGUUUUAUGAUGCAGACAGAUGUUAAGAGAUCAAAACUUCCUUCAGAUGCAGCUGACAUUGUGAUGGAAGAUGUCCCAUUAUUGACAAAUCUUCUGCAAUAUCAUGAUGCUAAGUGAUAGGAGCAUAAUUAUGCGAUAUUAAUAACGUUAACCUCUAUACUUUCUUUGUUAGUUAGUGUAUUUUCUCAUUAUUUACGUUGUGUACUUGUUUUAUAGGUAUUUUGAGCAAAGAAGGAGAAAAGAAGUAAAAGAGGGAUUGAAAGGCAAAAUCGGCAAAUCUGCCUGUGCAUAUCAGUCAACUUCGACAGAUCACUGAGACCAGC